rnacentral:rRNA from 1 species
UCCAGACUCCUACGGGAGGCAGCAGUGGGGAAUAUUGCACAAUGGGGGAAACCCUGAUGCAGCAACGCCGCGUGAGUGAAGAAGUAUUUCGGUAUGUAAAGCUCUAUCAGCAGGGAAGAGAAUGACGGUACCUGACUAAGAAGCCCCGGCUAACUACGUGCCAGCAGCCGCGGUAAUACGUAGGGGGCGAGCGUUAUCCGGAUUUACUGGGUGUAAAGGGAGCGUAGACGGCAGAGCAAGUCUGAAGUGAAAGCCCGCGGCCCAACUGCGGGACUGCUUUGGAAACUGCCCGGCUAGAGUGCUGGAGAGGUAAGCGGAAUUCCUAGUGUAGCGGUGAAAUGCGUAGAUAUUAGGAGGAACACCAGUGGCGAAGGCGGCUUACUGGACGACUACUGACGCUGAGGCUCGAAAGCGUGGGGAGCAAACAGGAUUAGAUACCCGAGUAU